AUUGACUAUUCCUGUGAUGGUCCCCCCCCCCCCCCCAGAUCACGUACAGCCUGCGGCGCCUCACAGCCUUCCAGACUCAGAACCUGUACGUGGGCCCCCGGCCUCAGGAGCCGGCCCCAGAGGGGAACCCUCUGUUCCCAGGCGUGGAGGCCAAGCCGGACCCGAUCAAAGGAGGCCUGCGCGUCACCAGCUUCUUCACCUACAACUGCCUCACUGACUCGAAGGACCUGUACAGCGAGUGUUUACGCACCUUCUGGAGCUGUCCAAACUGUGACCUCUACAUGCCUCUCACUCCGCUGGAGCGCAUGCAGCACGAGGCCUCCUGCAGGCCAGCAGGGGAACAGCAGCAGUCAGAGGAAGAGCCAGAAGGGGCAAAGGCAGUCUCCUCCUCUUCCUCCUCCAUGUCCAGUCUCACCAGAGUUUAUCACUGUGACGUCUGCGAUGAAGAUCUGACCCUCACCUCCACUGAGAUCCUCAAACAUAAAAGGCAGCACAUGUAUUCUACCAAGUAGCAGCUUCCUAGGGACAACAACUAAUCACAACGGGUCUAUUCUGUCAAGGACAUCUUUGAGUUUAUAGAAUAAAGUUGUUAUGUUUGUGUCACUAUUUUUCUUCCCAUUUUUACUCGAGGAAUUUCAUUAAACUGCUGUUCCUUCCCUU